UCAAACUUGGUCAUUUAGAGGAAGUAAAAGUCGUAACAAGGUUUCCAUAGGUGAACCUGCGGAAGGAUCAUUACUGAAGAAAUGGUAGGGUUGAUGCUGACUCUUCAGAGUAUGUGCUUGCCUUAUUGCUUUUUCAAUCUUUUCCACCUGUGCACCUUUUGUAGAUUGUGAUGGAACCUCCUUUCAAGUUGGUUGUCAUUCGUUGAGAAUGGUUUGAAGUCUUGCCUGUGCUGGACUUCACUCUUCACGGUCUACGUUUAUAUGAACUCUCUUAAAGUCUUUGAAUGUAUCUAGUUGGUCUUGAUUGACCGAUAAUCUUUAAACAACUUUCGGCAAUGGAUCUCUUGGCUCUCACAUCGAUGAAGAACGCAGC
rnacentral:misc_RNA from 1 species